UUAUUAUAAUAUUCCGAUUUUAAUACAUAUUUUAAAUACAAUGCGUUUUCAAAACCCGACACACAUUACUUUAUGAAAUACUAAAACACUUUUAUGCGGCAGACAAAAUGAACGUUAAAUGAUCAAAUAUAAGUUUGGCAAACUUACUCACUGUUUUAUCGGUACUUAUAUAUUAAUACUAACUGUAUAAUCAUUAUGUUACAUAAGUUAGGUAAUUUUUUAACCGAUUUUUGGUAGAUUUUCGUGGGCAAAAUUCAGUCUGUUUCAUACAAAUCGAAUUUUAGACUCUGAAUGUACAGCGAAUAAGAUUCACUAAAAAACGUGGGUUUUCUUUUUUCUCAGAAAACACUUUUUGAGAUUGGUAAAAAAAAAAAUGGUCCAAUUUUUCAUCCCGUACUUUUAAUGCGGAUUUUAAGCCCCGCGGUACUUUAAUUGAAAAAAAAAAUGCCUAGAUUCCUAACAGUCUUUCUAUUGAAAUUAAAAUACUGAUAUCAAAUAUCGAUACCCCCAUAGUACGUGUCACACACGUUUACCUUAUUUUUAUUUUGUUUUUGUAUUGAUUACUGUAGCCUAUAUACACUUAACAAUUAGGGAAAUACAACAUAUUUAUAUCGUAAAUAUUACAUGCUGAAAUUACAAAUAACUAUUGCACAACACUUUUACAAGUAUAAUAGCUAUAAAAAAUUUACUAUAUACUUAUACUGUCGCAUAAGUACUAGGAAAAAAUGGUACCUAUCUAUCUACCCAUACUUAAACAAAAAAUAAUAAUAUUUAAAAAAAAAUUAUUACAUUGACAUGAAUUUAGUUCAACGACUGUCGUGGUUUAUCGCUGAUAGUGAUGAUAGAUUGGUAUAAUAUUAUAAUGAUUAUACGUACCUACCUACUAUUAUACAGUUGUAAGAUAAUAAGAUGUAAGAUGGACACUCGACAAGAAUAGUUAAUGUGACAUUGGCAAAAAUAUUCACAAUAAUAUAUCACAACUGUAGUUAUACAUAAUAAUAAUAAACUCUUGUCAUGCCUAUUGAACGAUAUUCAAGAAGUAUUGAUAAAUCAUAAUAAUAAUAAUAUAUAGAUAGACGUUGUGACAUAAAUACAUCAUAUUAUUAUUACUUUAUAAGAUGAUAUGAUUCAUACAAAUAUUUAUAUAUAUUUAUUAGCUUAGACAUGUA